AGCAGAGAUGCUUUGGUGCCUUCGGGAACUCUGAGACAGGUGCUGCAUGGCUGUCGUCAGCUCGUGUUGUGAAAUGUUGGGUUAAGUCCCGCAACGAGCGCAACCCUUAUCCUUUGUUGCCAGCGGCUCGGCCGGGAACUCAAAGGAGACUGCCGGUGAUAAACCGGAGGAAGGUGGGGAUGACGUCAAGUCAUCAUGGCCCUCACGGCCAGGGCUACACACGUGCUACAAUGGCGCAUACAAAGAGAAGCGACCUCGCGAGAGCAAGCGGACCUCAUAAAGUGCGUCGUAGUCCGGAUUGGAGUCUGCAACUCGACUCCAUGAAGUCGGAAUCGCUAGUAAUCGUAGAUCAGAAUGCUACGGUGAAUACGUUCCCGGGCCUUGUACACACCGCCCGUCACACCAUGGGAGUGGGUUGCAAAAGAAGUAGGUAGCUUAACCUUCGGGAGGGCGCUUACCACUUUGUGAUUCAUGACUGGGGUGAAGUCGUAACAAGGUAAGCGUAGCGAG
rnacentral:rRNA from 1 species